GGGAGCUCUCCCUAUGGUCGACCUGCAGGCGGCCGCGAAUUCACUAGUGAUUAGUUUGAUCAUGGCUCUUGAACGCUGCGCAUGCUUUACACAUGCAAGUCGAGCGGCAGCGCGGGACUCAGGCAACUGAGCCCUGGCGGCGAGCGGCGAACGGGUGAGUAACACAUCGGAACGUAUCCCGUAGAGGGGGAUAGCCCGGCGAAAGCCGGAUUAAUACCGCAUAUGCUCUACGGAGGAAAGUGGGGGACCUGCAAGGGCCUCACGCUAUGGGAGCGGCCGAUGUCCGAUUAGCUAGUUGGUGGGGUAAAGGCCUACCAAGGCGACGAUCGGUAGCUGGUCUGAGAGGAUGAUCAGCCACACUGGGACUGAGACACGGCCCAGACUCCUACGGGAGGCAGCAGUGGGGAAUUUUGGACAAUGGGGGCAACCCUGAUCCAGCCAUGCCGCUUUUAGUCGACACUAGGUGAAUACCCUUGCUAUUUACGGUACCGCGGAAUAAGCACCGGCUAACUACGUGCCAGCAGCCGCGAAUU
rnacentral:rRNA from 1 species